CCUAACACAUGCAAGUCGAGGCGGUAGAGAGAAGCUUGCUUCUCUUGAGAGCGGCGGACGGGUGAGUAAUGCCUAGGAAUCUGCCUGGUAGUGGGGGAUAACGUUCGGAAACGGACGCUAAUACCGCAUACGUCCUACGGGAGAAAGCAGGGGACCUUCGGGCCUUGCGCUAUCAGAUGAGCCUAGGUCGGAUUAGCUAGUUGGUGAGGUAAUGGCUCACCAAGGCGACGAUCCGUAACUGGUCUGAGAGGAUGAUCAGUCACACUGGAACUGAGACACGGUCCAGACUCCUACGGGAGGCAGCAGUGGGGAAUAUUGGACAAUGGGCGAAAGCCUGAUCCAGCCAUGCCGCGUGUGUGAAGAAGGUCUUCGGAUUGUAAAGCACUUUAAGUUGGGAGGAAGGGUUGUAGAUUAAUACUCUGCAAUUUUGACGUUACCGACAGAAUAAGCACCGGCUAACUCUGUGCCAGCAGCCGCGGUAAUACAGAGGGUGCAAGCGUUAAUCGGAAUUACUGGGCGUAAAGCGCGCGUAGGUGGUUUGUUAAGUUGGAUGUGAAAUCCCCGGGCUCAACCUGGGAACUGCAUUCAAAACUGACUGACUAGAGUAUGGUAGAGGGUGGUGGAAUUUCCUGUGUAGCGGUGAAAUGCGUAGAUAUAGGAAGGAACACCAGUGGGCGAAGGCGACCACCUGGACUAAUACUGACACUGAGGUGCGAAAGCGUGGGGGAGCAAACAGGAUUAGAUACCCUGGUAGUCCACGCCGUAAACGAUGUCAACUAGCCGUUGGAAGCCUUGAGCUUUUAGUGGCGCAGCUAACGCAUUAAGUUGAC
rnacentral:rRNA from 1 species